rnacentral:rRNA from 1 species
CGAACCGUGCGAACGUUGUUCGGAAUCACUGGGCUUAAAGGGCGCGUAGGCGGGCUGUCAAGUCUGGGGUGAAAUGCCGCGGCUCAACCGUGGAACUGCCUUAGAUACUGACGGCCUCGAGGGAGGUAGGGCGUGCGGAACUGUAGGUGGAGCGGUGAAAUGCGUUGAUAUCUACAGGAACUCCGGUGGCGAAAGCGGCGCGCUGGACCUCUUCUGACGCUGAGGCGCGAAAGCUAGGGGAGCAAACGGGAUUAGAUACCCCGGUAGUCCUAGCCCUAAACGAUGGGUACUAGGUAGUAGACUAGAUAUGGGUUUACUGCCGAAGCUAAAGUGCUAAGUACCCCGCCUGGGGAGUAUGGUCGCAAGGCUG